CCUACGGGAGGCAGCAGUAGGGAAUCUUCCACAAUGGGCGAAAGCCUGAUGGAGCAACGCCGCGUGGGUGAAGAAGGUCUUCGGAUCGUAAAACCCUGUUGUUAGAGAAGAAAGUGCGUGAGAGUAACUGUUCACGUUUCGACGGUAUCUAACCAGAAAGCCACGGCGAACUACGUGCCAGCAGCCGCGGUAAUACGUAGGUGGCAAGCGUUAUCCGGAUUUAUUGGGCGUAAAGGGAACGCAGGCGGUCUUUUAAGUCUGAUGUGAAAGCCUUCGGCUUAACCGGAGUAGUGCAUUGGAAACUGGGAGACUUGAGUGCAGAAGAGGCGAGUGGAACUCCAUGUGUAGCGGUGAAAUGCUUAGAUAUAUGGAAGAACACCAGUGGCGAAAGCGGCUCUCUGGUCUGUAACUGACGCUGAGGUUCGAAAGCGUGGGUAGCAAACAGGAUUAGAUACCCUUGUAGUC
rnacentral:rRNA from 1 species